CUAAUUCGAAAGUAUAGUGAAAUUUGGAACCAUCUGUACAUGAAUAGUGAACAACUGAGUGAGCAAGUCAGCAACUGAACAAGUGACUCACUUACUAAAAAAGAACAAGUGAACAUGUUCACCAAAAUGAGCAAUGUUUACCCAACACUACUUUGCAUUUGCUAUUUGCAAUCGACUAAUUGUGCGCAAACGAAGUGAAAUUAAUUGCUGUGAUUAAUUUUACUAUCAGGCCACCGGCGAACGGAGGUUCAACGGACAGGUGAUGAGCAACCUGCUUUUGAAGAUCGCUCGAGGCUGAGUGGCAUCAACCAAACGCUGAAGAGAGAAUUUCGACCGCUUCGUGUCCUACAAUAGCCGCCUCCGCAACUCCAAUGAAAAUUGUAUAUAUAUGCAUAUGCUUUUUGUUGAAGCGGGAGCGGCCGGUGUACGGAACAACACGUAAAAUCCUCAAUCCCCAAGUGAAGAAUCAAACCGCUUUCGCAACUCCAAAAAAAUUGAAAAUCGCAGUCGCGCCGCCGCAGGUCUGCCUUGCAAGAGUGAGAUAGAUGUAUCGUCUGUCGCUGUAUGUGUGUGUUUUGCAUGCGCCUGCUUCUGCGUACAAAAAAAAUACGUCAGCCGACAGCGCAGCCGCAGCUGUUGUCUCUCUGUCUCUCGCUCUCUCUCUGCUUUUGCAAGGUAGCAGAAAAGG